rnacentral:rRNA from 1 species
UACAGAGGUCCCAAGCGUUGUUCGGAUUCAUUGGGCGUAAAGAGCGUGUAGGCGGCCAGGUAGGUCUGCUGUGAAAACUCGAGGCUCAACCUCGAGACGUCGGCGGAAACCAUCUGGCUAGAGUCCGGAAGAGGAGAGUGGAAUUCCUGGUGUAGCGGUGAAAUGCGCAGAUAUCAGGAAGAACACCCGUGGCGAAGGCGGCUCUCUGGGACGGUACUGACGCUGAGACGCGAAAGCGUGGGGAGCGAACAGG